rnacentral:rRNA from 1 species
AUUGAACGCUGGCGGCAUGCCUUACACAUGCAAGUCGAGCGCGAAAGGGGGGCAACCCCGAGUAGAGCGGCGGACGGGUGAGUAACGCAUCGGAACGUGCCCAGUAGUGGGGGACAACCUCGAGAAAUCGAGGCUAAUACCGCAUACGACCCACGGGUGAAAGCGGGGGACCGCAAGGCCUCGCGCUAUUGGAGCGGCCGAUGUCCGAUUAGCUAGUUGGCGGGGUAAGAGCCCACCAAGGCGACGAUCGGUAGCUGGUCUGAGAGGACGACCAGCCACACUGGGACUGAGACACGGCCCAGACUCCUACGGGAGGCAGCAGUGGGGAAUUUUGGACAAUGGGGGCAACCCUGAUCCAGCCAUGCCGCGUGCGGGAAGAAGGCC